rnacentral:rRNA from 1 species
AACGAACGCUGGCGGCAGGCUUAACACAUGCAAGUCGAGCGCCCCGCCAGGGGAGCGGCAGACGGGUGAGUAACGCGUGGGAACGUACCUUUUGGUUCGUAACAACUCCGGGAAACUGGAGCUAAUACCGGAUAAGCCCUAACGGGGAAAGAUUUAUCGCCGAAAGAUCGGCCCGCGUCUGAUUAGCUAGUUGGUGAGGUAACGGCUCACCAAGGCGACGAUCAGUAGCUGGUCUGAGAGGAUGAUCAGCCACACUGGGACUGAGACACGGCCCAGACUCCUACGGAAGGCAGCAGUGGGGAAGAUUGGACAAUGGGCGAAAGACUGAUCCAGCCAUGCCGCGUGAGUGAUGAAGGCGUUAGGGUUGUAAAGCUCUUUUGUCCGGGAAGAUAAUGACUGUACCGGAAGAAUAAGCCCCGGCAAACUUCGU